GACGAACGCUGGCGGCGUGCUUAACACAUGCAAGUCGAACGGAAAGGCCCUGCUUUUGUGGGGUGCUCGAGUGGCGAACGGGUGAGUAACACGUGAGUAACCUGCCCUUGACUUUGGGAUAACUUCAGGAAACUGGGGCUAAUACCGGAUAGGAGCUCCUGCUGCAUGGUGGGGGUUGGAAAGUUUCGGCGGUUGGGGAUGGACUCGCGGCUUAUCAGCUUGUUGGUGGGGUAGUGGCUUACCAAGGCUUUGACGGGUAGCCGGCCUGAGAGGGUGACCGGCCACAUUGGGACUGAGAUACGGCCCAGACUCCUACGGGAGGCAGCAGUGGGGAAUAUUGCACAAUGGGCGGAAGCCUGAUGCAACAACGCCGCGUGCGGGAUGACGGCCUUCGGGUUGUAAACCGCUUUCGCCUGUGACGAAGCGUGAGUGACGGUAAUGGGUAAAGAAGCACCGCUAACUACGUG
rnacentral:rRNA from 1 species